UUCUACGGGAGGCAGCAGUGGGGAAUUUUGGACAAUGGGCGAAAGCCUGAUCCAGCAAUGCCGCGUGCAGGAUAAAGGCCUUCGGGUUGUAAACCGCUUUUGUACGGAACGAAAAAGCUUCUCCUAAUACGAGAGGCCCAUGACGGUACCGUAAGAAUAAGCACCGGCAAAAUACGUGCCAGCAGCCCCGGUAAUACGUAGGGUGCGAGCGUUUAUUGGAAUUAUUGGGGGUAAAGCGUGCGCAGGCGGUUAUGUAAGACAGAUGUGAAA
rnacentral:rRNA from 1 species